rnacentral:misc_RNA from 1 species
UCUUGGCCCUCACCCUCUCACUUGGGACUGUCAGUCAGCUAGAGUGUACACACACGGACACCCACAGGAGACUGGUUGCUCAUGUAUAAAUAAUUUAAAAUAGAUCCACUGUAAUGGGGUUUAUGACAUCACUCCAUGCUUUUGCCUGCUCAGCUUCAGGAGGUAGUACACCACCUCACAGGGUGGGGGGCUGUUUGUAAAUACCAGCCAAGAUGGCCACCCAAGCGGAGGCAAUUUACUGCUCUAUGAAGCUUGUAAAUCGUGUUACAGCUCCACAGAAGUAGUGAAUGUUCAUCAGAAGCAUUGUAGUAAGUAAUUUCAAUCCUUGUAGAACAAUUUGAUCAAAUAUUGAAGAUGUAGCCUUAAAUGAGGUGUAUAUUAAGCUUGGAAUACAGACUUGUCUUGUAUUUCAUUCUAAUCUUCCUUUCUCAGUACAGUGGGCAGUGUUAACAUCUGCCCAGCAGGACCAACAUCAACUUUUCCCACAGCAGAGACAGUCUGAGAGACAUCUGGAAGCUUCCAUGGUGUGGCCAUUGUUUUUGGUGUCGCACGCAACUGGCCGCUGCUUUAAGCAUGAUUGCUACUCAGACUUCUGGGUAACUAAGUCCCAAGACAGCCAGGGUAAUGUUAUGGUUAUAUAUUAUGCUGGAAGGCAGCCUGGGUUAAUUAACUCUUGCGUUAGAGAGUUGAACAGAAUAGGGGUGAGAGGAAGAAGAAAGCCUUGUGCAGCAAGGCUGCAGGAGGAGGGGAAGUAUGCAGUUCAGAAGAGCACUUAGCAUGAACAUAGUGGUAGAAGAUAGCAAGUGAUGCAACAUUCCUGUGGUGAGAAAGAGGCUAAAGAUAGUCAGAGGAGGGGAGUUGAUGACACGAAAAGCUAUUGAUUUCACUCUAUCUAAUAAAACUGUGAGUGAAACCCCUUCAUAUAUGGGAAAAGUACUCCAUACAUAGGUGGAUGAGGCCCUUGUACAGAGGUAGCAAUUAGGAGAGUGAGAAAAACUGGCAGAGAUGCCUCUUCCUUCUAUAAAGUUUUUUAAUCUAUCCUUAGUAGAAAGAUUCUUCAACAUCUAUCAUUUCACAAUUUUCUAUCUGAUUGCCAGUAUGACUGCUGUCAAGGUCAUUCUACUGGGGAUCUUUUGGCUUUCCUUACUGAGUUUUGGUCAUCCUUUUAUUAAAGAUUUUGAUGAAACUGUGUUGCAUUAGAGAUUUCAAAAGCUUUUGAUAGAGUGUGGCACAAAGCUUUGAUCUCUAAACUACCCUUCUAUGGCUUUUAUCUUUCUGCAACUUCAUCUCAAGUUUCCUCUUUGACUGUUGUACUGCUGCAGUAGUAGACGGCAACCAUUCUUCUAAAUCUAGUAACAGUGGUGUUCUGUAGGGUUCUGUCCUGUCACCCACUCUCUUCCUAUUAUUCAUCAAUGAUCUAAACCAGGUGUAGGCAAACUAAGGGCCGUGGGCUGCAUGCGGCCUGCCAAAGGAAAUUAACACAGCCAGACAAAUGUUAAUAAAUUUUAAAGAGAUAGUUGAUAAACAAUGCCAAAUGAUUUUGUGACCAUUUCAUUUUAUUUCUGCAGGUGUGCAUAUAUGUGGGAGAGUGGCUUUUUCUUUAAAAGUCUUUUAUUUUGUAUUUUAAAUACAUAUAUUAACUAACCAUUUCAGAUUAUUGUAGUAUAUGGCUGUAUAAGAUUGUGAUUUUUUGUUUGCCCACCCCUCUUCUAAACUAAAUUUCUUUCCCUAUCCACUCCCUUGCUGAUACCAUCCUACACUUUUCCAUGUAUUUUCAAAGACAACUAACCCUUUUGGAAAUAACAUUUUCCAA